GACGAACGCUGGCGGCGGGCCUAAUACAUGCAAGUCGAACGCAGUGGGGACGGGUGAGUAAUACGUGGGUAACCUACCAUCAGAGGGGAUAACACUUGGAAACAGGUGCUAAAACCGAUACUGAUGGAUGGACCCGCGGUGCAUUAGCUAGUGGGUGAGGUAACGGCUCACCAAGGCAACGAUGCAUAGCGGACCUAAGAGGGGGAACGGCCACACUGGGACUGAGACACGGCCCAGACUCCUACGGGCGGCAGCAGUAGGGAAUCUUCUGCAAUGGACGAAAGUCGGACCGAGCAACACCGCGUGAGUGAAGAAGGUUUUCGGAUCGUAAACCGCUGUUGUUAGAGAAGCGGUAACUAACCAGAAAGCCACGGCUAACUACGUGCCAGCAGCCGCGGUAAUAC
rnacentral:rRNA from 1 species